rnacentral:rRNA from 1 species
GAUGAACGCUGGCGGCGUGCUUAACACAUGCAAGUCGAACGGAAAGGCCCAAGCUUGCUUGGGUACUCGAGUGGCGAACGGGUGAGUAACACGUGGGUGAUCUGCCCUGCACUUCGGGAUAAGCCUGGGAAACUGGGUCUAAUACCGGAUAGGACCACUUCUUGGAUGUUGUGGUGGAAAGUUUUCUCGGUGUGGGAUGAGCUCGCGGCCUAUCAACUUGUUGGUGGGGUAAUGGCCUACCAAGGCGUCGACGGGUAGCCGGCCUGAGAGGGUGUACGGCCACAUUGGGACUGGGAUACGGCCCAGACUCCUACGGGAGGCAGCAGUGGGGAAUAUUGCACAAUGGGCGCAAGCCUGAUGCAGCGACGCCGCGUGGGGGAUGACGGCCUUCGGGUUGUAAACUCCUUUCGCUAGGGACGAAGCGUUUUUGUGACGGUACCUGGAGAAGAAGCACCGGCUAACUACGUG